rnacentral:lncRNA from 1 species
AUGUGGCAGAGGAUCAAGACACUUACUGGCUACAAAGACAAUCGCACACAAACCCACUCCCCAGACAUCAACUUACCUGACACCCUAAACCAGUUCUUCGCCCGCUUUAAACAACAAAACAUGGACACCAUCACCCAUCCUAAUGUUUCAGAGAGGGACGACGCCCCCAUCCAGCUGGAACAGCAUCAGGUCAGAACCACACUGCGCAGAGUCAACGCAAGGAAAGGAGCUGGUCCAGACGGUGUAGCCAGUAGAGUGCUUAAAGCAUGUGCAGACCAACUAGCAGAGGUUUUCACCACCAUCUUCAACCUCUCACUGCUACAGUCUGUAGUACCAUCCUGCUUUAAGUCAACCACCAUCAUUCCAGUGCCCAAGAAGAACACAGUGAGCUGCUUGAAUAACUACCGUCCAGUUGCUUUAACACCCACAAUUACCAAAUGCUUUGAGAAACUUAUCAUGUUGCACAAUGAAGCUGCCAUCCCUGCAAACCUUGAUUCAUACCAGUUCGCAUACAAGGUAAACAGGUCGACAGAGAAUGCCAUAAUAACAGCUCUUCACACAACCCUCACACACCUGGACAGUAGUAACAUCUAUGUCAGAAUGCUGUUUUUGGACUUCAGCUCUGCCUUCAAUACAGUUCAACUCCAGAAACUGGUUAAUAAACUAAGCAGCUUAGGACUCAGCAGCUCACUGUGCACCUGGAUAUUGGACUUCCUGUGCAACAGACCCCAGAACGUCAGGAUGGGAAAGCACACCCCCUCCACACUCAUUCUGAACGUAGGCGUCCCACAAGGGUGUGUCCACAGUCCCCUCUUAUACUCACGUUUCACCCAUAACUGUUCUCCAGUCCACACCAGUAACACCAUUAUAAAAUUUGCUGAUGACACCACCAUCAUAGGAUUGAUUAACAACAACGAUGAUUCAGCCUACAGAGAGGAGGUUCAGCAUCUGAACUACGACUAUGGAACGGAGCAGUUGUCAGCCACCUCCUGUACAUGGAUGACAUGCCAAGAGUGA